GACGAACGCUGGCGGCGUGCCUAAUACAUGCAAGUAGAACGCUGAAGGAGGAGCUUGCUUCUCUGGAUGAGUUGCGAACGGGUGAGUAACGCGUAGGUAACCUGCCUGGUAGCGGGGGAUAACUAUUGGAAACGAUAGCUAAUACCGCAUAAGAGUAGAUGUUGCAUGACAUUUGCUUAAAAGGUGCAAUUGCAUCACUACCAGAUGGACCUGCGUUGUAUUAGCUAGUUGGUGGGGUAACGGCUCACCAAGGCGACGAUACAUAGCCGACCUGAGAGGGUGAUCGGCCACACUGGGACUGAGACACGGCCCAGACUCCUACGGGAGGCAGCAGUAGGGAACCUUCGGCAAUGGACGGAAGUCUGACCGAGCAACGCCGCGUGAGUGAAGAAGGUUUUCGGAUCGUAAAGCUCUGUUGUAAGAGAAGAAACGAGUGUGAGAAG
rnacentral:rRNA from 1 species